rnacentral:rRNA from 1 species
GGGAUCUUGCACAAUGGGGGAAACCCUGAUGCAGCGACGCCGCGUGGGCGAAGAAGGCCUUCGGGUCGUAAAGCCCUUUUCUGGGUGACGAGGAAGGACGGUAGCCCAGGAAGAAGUCUCGGCUAACUACGUGCCAGCAGCCGCGGUAAAACGUAGGAGGCAAGCGUUAUCCGGAGUUACUGGGCGUAAAGCGCGCGCAGGCGGUUAGGCAAGUUGGGUGUGAAAGCUCCCGGCUAAACCGGGAGAGUGCAUUCAAGACUGCCUGGCUAGAGGACGGUAGAGGGGCGCAGAAUUCGGGGUGUAGCGGUGAAAUGUGUAGAGAUCCCGAGGAAUACCAGUGGGGAAGCCGGCGCCCUGGGCCGAACCUGACGCUGAGGCGCGACAGCGUGGGGAGCGAA